CACAUAGAUGGUCUCUGGCUAAUCUGGAAGAACAUCACGACCAUGUGAAAGGUAAUUCUAUAAUAAUUAUUUAUUACUCACUUAACGGAUUAUUUGAUCCAAUUAGUUACCUAACCAAAAAGAUAUUGGUAUUUUGGAGAAUAUGCUAAUGUUUUUUUCAAUUUAACAUUGUAAUUUGUGUGGCAAGGUUCUCGGUCAUCCAGGUAAUGGUAUCGUUCUGAAAUGAAGACUUCACUUGGAUGAGUAGUGAAACAUCUCCAAGAAAACUCAAACUAGUCCAGCUGUCUCUGUUUUUAGACACACUGCUUAAAGAACAAUAGAUUGGUCUUCACCUCAGUUUGAAGUAUGGCUCCUUUAAUAAAUUGCAGUUACAAUAGCUCAUUGCAGAUACAUUGUUACUGGCACACGUUCAGCCACUGUAGGGCAAAAAACGGAACUAUGCAAAUGCAAACGAUCCAGUGAAUUUGUAGUAAAGCAGAAACUAUGUGGCUCAUUGUAAGUGCAAUUUAAUUGUCUGUGCAAAGUAUUGUAAUGACAAGUCAUUAGAAACAUCAUUUAAAGGAGCAUUUUAAAAUGUUUACAGGUGCUUUUAUUCCUUGUUUGCUCUUCCAAAAUUGGGAACGUUUCCCCACCAGGUUAGUUAAUUGGGCUGGUGUAAACACACAAUCGCACUUCGUCAUAGAACAAAUCAGCCAAGUUGAGACCGGAAAGACAAGAUGAUCUCAGCUCGCUUGCAAUCCCACACUGUGCGGUCCAUUGUCAGUGAGAACACACGUUACCAAGGUAUCAAUACGACAAGGUCAUUAUAUGCUUCCAGAGCAUGUCUUCUCCAUCGGAUAUGUCUGGCAGCAGUUGUACACCUGCUCAGCCUACACAUUAAAAUGCUGUCUUCUACGUGUAGCCUUCAUGCUGGAUCCAACUGAGCACGCUGUUCAUAUACAGAACAGCAAUAAAUGCCAGUGCCCAUUCAUCUUUUUCCUGAAAUGAAACUUUUCCACAGAAUUCUGACCAAUCACAAAACUGUUUGCGAGCGUGCAGUUGUGUGUGCGUCAGAAAUUUGUUUUCACAGUCCUCAGAACACGAUCCAAACCACAGUUAAAAACACUAAAUCAGAGUGAAAUACAGCUCUAAACGUGCAAUAUCUUUUUAUAAGAUGGUGACAAGAACACACCUAAAUAUUAAGCACAAAUAUUGAUAUUGGCUUUGCAUACGGUCAUUGUGAAUGAACACACCUAAGCCAGGUUUGAAGCCACUUGGUAGCCACUUGGUACGUUUAUUUAUAUGUGUGUCUUAUAUAAUGGAUACAUUAUUAACAUCUUAUGAGAACACGCAUGCCAGGGCAGAGUGAGGUUUUUCCAACUUGCAAAGUUCAGUAUCUACAGGUUGCCCGAAGCCGUCCUGAUGAUGAUCAAAGAGUUUAUGGUAAUGAGCCCACUAGCGCCACUCUCGGGGCAUUGUAGUGCAUGUGUGGUGCCUCGGGGGGCGGGGGGCACUGAUCACCUAUUCCUAUUCAAACCCUGAUUCAAACAUCCCACGGGAAAUAGAAAAUAGAAAGUCCUUUUUUUCAGCUGCCAGGGGAAAGGUAAACUGGUCUGACCGGUGUGCAUGCAGCUGCUGAGGGCUUGGGUCUUGAGGAAAAAACUCAGUUCAGUUCAGUUGAGGAAGCAAAACAAACAGUGAAGGGCACACUAGGCAUCUACGGCAUACGACUCUGUUUCAGAUCCAAAACUCAACCGCCAACUAUUAUCAGCAGGCAUGUGACAGGAGGUACUUUAUAGAUGACUGACACUGAACCGGGACGGACGCCAACACACACAGGAACGGAUAGGACCAAACACAAGAGUCACACAGCACACAGGAGUGUCUACAGUUGGAGCAGUGUGCUGCAGCCUUAAGUAGACUGUGUCCACAGAGCAAAUUGGAGCUUAGGUGCGAACCUGGGACCUUUCGGCCUCCAGAUGCGCAUCUGACCACUAUUCGACAGCCCCCCCACAAAAUGUAUAUAAUAAACAAUCCUCCUGAUGAAGACAGACAGUGCACUCCAGCUGAGAAUGAUGAUUGCCAACUCAAGCAGGUUCCACUUGCUCUUGAAAUACGCCCAUUUAUGUUUCCUCAUCAGCUUUCCCUGACAAGACACAAGAGGAGCUUGUGUCACAUGUUUAGGUUGGUCAGCAGAGUUGUGUUUGCCCAGUUGAACACAUCCUGAAUACUCAUGCUGUCUGAGAUCCCUUUGCUGAAGCUCUGGCGAAUGUGUUGUGUCAAAAAGUAAGCAUUGGGAUCCCUCUGACCAUAUGCAACCAGGAGCAACAUCCACAUAAAUCCCAUACUGCCCGACGACAGGUGGUACUCCAGAAGACCCUUCAUUCCCUGAACUUGCUGCAUGGCCCGGUUGUAGCAUUCUGAGUUUGGGAAACGAGAAGGACCCAACAGACCAAGCUCCUUCUCAACAUGACGCAGCUGCCUGUACAGGAUCAUGGAGCGAUCACUCUUGGAGGCGUCAUUGUAGAAGUCUCCAGCUGCUCGGUUCUGUUGUCUUAUGAUGUCUUCAACCAGAGACAGCAGAGUGUUGAUGUCAGCCUGCUGACCAGGAUGGAGCUCCAGAUGUGGCAGUGGACUCUUCAUGGCCUUUGAGAGUGACUGAGCAAUUCUUUUUAUGUCCUAAAGAAGAAACCACAUCAAGGUCUUCAGACACAUUCUUUUUCAGGCGAUGAAGUCUGUGAGGGAGAAACUCGAACAGUCUUCCCUUUUUUCGACGCAUCCGUUUUGGUGGUUUUCUCUCGAGGACGAGUGUUUCUGAAGAUGCUCACGAUAAGGAGAUUAAUGGGAAACAUGAUGAUUGAACUUUGAACUCCAAUCAUCACCUGUUGCCAGGUGAACUCGAUGUGACCUGCAAAGUCCAUGGUCUGCUCUGAGGGAUCUGUGGGGAUACCCCAAAACAUGAUACUGGUCAGCAUGGUGCACAGCAACAGGGAAAAACAGCAGGACACCCGCUGCACACGUGUGAAUGUGCUGCAGGGAGGCCGACUAAUAACAG